rnacentral:rRNA from 1 species
GACGAACGCUGGCGGCGUGCUUAACACAUGCAAGUCGAACGGUAAGGCCCUUCGGGGUACACGAGUGGCGAACGGGUGAGUAACACGUGGGUGAUCUGCCCUGCACUUCGGGAUAAGCCUGGGAAACUGGGUCUAAUACCGGAUAGGACCACUGCCUGCAUGGGUGGUGGUGGAAAGCUUUUGCGGUGUGGGAUGGGCCCGCGGCCUAUCAGCUUGUUGGUGGGGUGAUGGCCUACCAAGGCGACGACGGGUAGCCGGCCUGAGAGGGUGACCGGCCACACUGGGACUGAGGUAGGGCCCAGACUGCCACGGGAGGCAGCAGUGGGGAAUAUUGCACAAUGGGGGCAAGCCUGAUGCAGCGACGCCGCGUGAGGGAUGACGGCCUUCGGGUUGUAAACCUCUUUCAGCACCGACGAAGCGCAAGUGACGGUAGGUGCAGAAGAAGGACCGGCCAACUACGUGCCAGCCGCCGCAGUAA